rnacentral:miRNA from 1 species
GAUCUGCACAGCUCAAGGGCACUCAGCGGCAGGAGUGUCCUCGCUGUACUGUGCCCUCCCGGCCUCCACCUGUCCCGAGGGGAGCGCAGGAUCCUGGGCUGUGUCCCCGUUGCCCUGAGAUCCAGGGCCUG